GGCGCGGCCAAGAACCCCCUUCACACGUGCAGACAAAGAGACGUAACAACACAACCAAAAUAUUAACGUAUAAACUUUUUCGAAAACGACGACGGUUUUCGUGGACAUGUGAAACGGAACACAUAAGGAAAAUGUAUGUAUAUAUUGUGCUUGCUUGUUUUUAAACUAAUUUAAUGGAUUUGUUUUCAGUGAAAAGUUGCUCGGAGUUGGUGCGUCAGCUCGCAAAGUUGAGCACAAAGAGGAGAGGAGCGUUCCUUUGUUCCACGGAGGGCUUUGAAGGGAAAUCGUGGAUGAAGAAUUCCAGUUAUCCUGUUUCAAAAUGAAUGUUAAAUAAGAAAGAUGCAACAGGACGAAACUAUGGAAACUUGCAUCUGUCCGAAUGAUGAGGUUUGAAAUGUAUGGGGAACACAAAGAGAAUAAAAACUACAACGGAGACAAUGGAAAUGGAGAAACCGCAUAGUUCGGCGAAUGAGCAACAGGUCCUGCAAAUCUCUCAAGCAGCAAGAUACACCUUUGUAAGGACUAUGGAGACUGGUGUAGGCUACUAUGUAUUUGGAAAGUAAAAGUUUGGGAUACUGACAUUUUUGGAUUCUAUUUCUGCACAAUUAUGGAAUAAUACAAAGAUGGAUUAUAAUGUACUUUCAAAAACAAAGAACUUAACUUUUAUGAAUCAGUGGAUGGAAAACGUCAUGGAGCAUGACACACAACAAAGCAAGGUGCUCACGGACAUGAUUUGGAAGUGCCUGCAGUCCUUGCCUUGUCCAGCUGUGACCCGUCUUCCUCUGGUCACACGUUAGAGGAAGAACACUGGAGGUCAGGGUGCAGAGCAAGACAGCCGACAAGCAGGAUAAAAUGUGGGAUCCUCCCUUUCUUGCUUUUUGAGUAGCUGACCUGUGAUGACAGCAAGGUCAAGGGUCAACACUGAUCAACUGCCAUCCUGGAAGCCUCUUUGACAUUGAGAUUCAGGGAAUGUAGAGCUGUGUCCUACUGGGCUUCUGUGUCUUGGCUUCUGGACUGACCGCUCCGGCCAUGGGAUCCAUUGGAGAACCCUGACACCUACAGCCCUCACCAUGCACUCCACUAUACUAACGCAGCAGGCUGAAAAAAAUGGCUGUCUUAACCCCUUAAGCCCUGGGCUGGGCCCAUGGGAAGUUUCCUUGGUGAACUAGACCCCCCUAUAAGCUCCUUCCCUGAGGAUGGCACCCCGCUGAUCCUCCUUGGAGACUUCAACAUCCACCUCAAAGCCUCCCAGACUGCUGCCUUCCUACUUUUACUCCGCUCCUUCAACACUCAUAACCCAUAAGGCUGGCAACCUCCUUGACCAGAUCUUUAUGAGGAACUGGUCCUGCUCUGAUUUCAGAGUUACCCCUCUGCAUACAUUUGAUCACCACUUCAUUUCCUUCUGGUUUUAUAGAUAUAAUCCAUUGUCAGAUUAAUCAAAUAGGCCAAUGUCCUUAUCUUUGUUGUAUUCUUAGCACUUGAAAUUGUACUUCCCUCUAGGGAUUUUGAGCGCACUUGUCCUCGUUAUGGGUAUGCACUUUGCCGAAUGCCAAUAAUGUAAUGUAAUGUAAUGUAAUUUGGGGAGUGGGUGAGAUAGUCUAGUGUCUAGUGCAGACACAUUAGAACAUGGCAAAGAUGUACAUAUUACUGCUUAUAUCAUUUUAAUUAUUUGCUUUGUGUCAUAUUUUAGAUGUUUAUAUUCACAUUUCUCAUAAUAGACAAUGUCUCGCCUUAGCUAAUAAUCCCCAGCACAUUAUUGAGGACUACUAGCUAGUCGUUCAGAUGGGAGCAUUGUUAGCGUAUCUUGUGCUGAUAUAUGCUAAAUGAAUGUUCCUAUGCAAGCUAGCUGUUCGUAUGCAAGCAUUGUUAGCAUACCCUGUGCUGACGUGCUAGAUGAAUGUAAUAUUUCCAUUGGAUUGAUUGGAAAUGGUAACAUUUGUGAAACAUUGUCCCAUCAAGCGAGGAUUUUGAUUUAGAUAAUGUAUAAGCUACCUGUUUCCUGUUUGUGACUGUAUUUAAUUGCAAAAUAAGUAACUGAACUUAAUUGUUGCAUUU